UGAGCCCAGAAAGCUUGAAGUUGAAACUUUUCAGGCAGCAUUUGUCAGAGUGGGAAGGACUCGAGAACUCCUUCAAGGUGAAUUUAACAACCAGACUGAGGGACUCUGCUAAUUCACUUUAUUCUGGUCUCAUCCCUGAUGGAAAGGACAAGAGUUGACAAUGAGGACAGCUGCUUGUUUGAAGAAAAAAUACACUUAGAUAACAGGAUGGAUCUGGGGCUCAGCAGAGGUGCUGAAGCUUCUCACAGGUGGGUUUUCAGGCACAGUUUCCAAAUCCCCCAAAAGCUAAAGAUUAAUGUUCAU
rnacentral:lncRNA from 1 species